GACUCCUUGGCAAUUCUCCAUCGUUCCUGCACCGUAGCUCCCUUGUAUAUCGGACAGUCGUACAACGGGUGCCCUUCCUUGCAUUGCGGGCACGCCGGCUUGUCU